CCUACGGGUGGCAGCAGUGGGGAAUAUUGGUCAAUGGAGGAAACUCUGAACCAGCAACGCCGCGUGAAUGAUGAAGGUCUUCGGAUUGGAAAGUUCUUUUUUCAGGGGAGAAGAUCGUGACGGUACCUUAGGCCUAAGCCUCGGCUAACUACGUGCCCGCAGCCGCGGUACGACGUAGGUGGCAAGCGUUAUCCGGAAUGACUGGGCGUAAAGGGUGCGUAGGUGGUUUGGCAAGGUAGUAGCGUAACCCCGGGGCUUAACCCCGGAACUACUACUAAAACUGGCGGACUUGAGUGCAGGAGGGGCAAGUGGAAUUCGUAGUGUAGCGGUGGAAUGCGUAGAUAUUAGGAGGAACACCAGUGGCGAAGGCGAAUUGCUGGACUGUAACUGACACUGAGGCACGAAGGCGUGGGGAGCAAACAGGAUUAGAUACCCCAGUAGUC
rnacentral:rRNA from 1 species